UUUCCAUAGGUGAACCUGCGGAAGGAUCAUUGUCGUGACCCUGACCAAGACAGACCGCGCAUGCAUCAUCAAAUCUGCCGGUGACGGCACCGUCCAUCGCUCGGCCAAGUCCUCGACCACCUCCCCUCCUCGGAGUGGGUGGGGGCUCGGGGUAAAAGAACCCACGACACCGAAGGCGUCAAGGAACACUGUGCCUAACCCGAGGGCAUGGCUAGCUUGCUAGCUGUCCCCCUUGUUGCAAAGCUAUUUAAUCCACACGACUCUCAGCAAUGGAUAUCUCGGCUCUC
rnacentral:misc_RNA from 1 species